UACGUAGGUGACAAGCGUUGUCCGGAUUUACUGGGCGUAAAGAGCGCGCAGGCGGUCGAUCAAGUCGAGUGUGAAAGCCCCCGGCUCAACUGGGGAGGGUCAUUCGAUACUGAUCGACUCGAAGGCAGGAGAGGGUAGUGGAAUUCCCGGUGUAGUGGUGAAAUGCGUAGAUAUCGGGAGGAACGCCAGUGGCGAAGGCGACUACCUGGCCUGUUCUUGACGCUGAGGCGCGAAAGCUAGGGGAGCAAACGGG
rnacentral:rRNA from 1 species